AGAGUUUGAUCCUGGCUCAGGAUGAACGCUGGCGGAGUGCCUAACACAUGCAAGUCGAGCGGCAGCACGAGUAGUUUACUACUUGGUGGCGAGCGGCGGACGGCUGAGUAACACGUGGGAACGUGCCCCAAAGUGAGGAAUAACUGCCCGAAAGGGUAGCUAAUGCCGCAUAUGAUCUUCGGAUUAAAGUAUUUAUUACGCUUUGGGAGCGGCCCGCGUCCGAUUAGGUAGUUGGUGAGGUAAAGGCUCACCAAGCCCACGAUCGGUAGCUGGUCUGAGAGGAUGACCAGCCAGACUGGAACUGAGACACGGUCCAGACUCCUACGGGAGGCAGCAGUGAGGAAUCUUCCACAAUGGACGAAAGUCUGAUGGAGCAACUCCGCGUGCAGGAUGAGGGCCUUCGGGUCGUAAACUGCUUUUAUGAGUGAAGAAUAUGACGAUAACUCAUGAAUAAGGGUCGGCUAACUACGUGCCAGCAGCCGCGGUCAUACGUAGGACCCAAGCGUUAUCCGGAGUGACUGGGCGUAAAGAGUUGCGUAGGUGGUUAGUAAAGUGAAUAGUGAAAUCUGGCGGCUCAACCGUACAGGCUAUUAUUCAAACUCACUAACUCGAGAAUGGUAGAGGUAACUGGAAUUUCUAGUGUAGGAGUGAAAUCCGUAGAUAUUAGAAGGAACACCAAUGGCGUAGGCAGGUUACUGGACCAUUUCUGACACUGAGGCACGAAAGC
rnacentral:rRNA from 1 species